GACGAACGCUGGCGGCGUGCUUAACACAUGCAAGUCGAACGGUAAGGCCUUGUUUUUGUGGUGUGUUCGUGUGUCGCGCGCGUGUGUAACAUGUGUGUAACCUCCCCUUUUCUUUCUGAUAUCUUCAUGAAACUCUGGCUAUUAUCGUAUAUGCGCUCCUUCUCCGCGUUGUGGUUUGUAGAGUUUCGGUGGCUGGGGAUGGACUCGCGGAUUAUCUGCUUGCUGGUGGGGUGGUGGCUUACCAAGGCGUUGACGGGUAGCCGGCCUGAGAGGGUGACCGGCCACACUGGGACUGAGAUACGGCCCAGACUCCUACGGGAGGCAGCAGUGGGGAAUGUUGCACAAUGGGCGGAAGCCUGAUGCAGCAACGCCGCGUGAGGGAUGACGGCCUUCGGGUUGUAAACCGCUUUCGGCAGGGAAGAAGCGAGAGUGACGGUAAUGGGAGAAGAAGCACCGGCUAACUACGUG
rnacentral:rRNA from 1 species